UACGAAGGGUCCAAGCGUUAUCCGGAUUUAUUGGGUUUAAAGGGUGCGUAGGCGGCUUAUUAAGUCAGUGGUGAAAGACUUCAGCUUAACUGAAGAACUGCCAUUGAUACUGAUGAGCUUGAGUACAGUUGAGGUGGGCGGAAUGUGUCAUGUAGUGGUGAAAUGCUUAGAUAUGACACAGAACACCGAUUGCGAAGGCAGCUCGCUAAACUGUAACUGACGCUGAGGCACGAAAGCGUGGGGAGCAAACAGG
rnacentral:rRNA from 1 species